rnacentral:siRNA from 1 species
UCGGAUUUGGUUUUAUAUGUG